rnacentral:rRNA from 1 species
CCUACGGGUGGCUGCAGUGAGGAAUAUUGGUAAAUGUGCGCUAGACUGAACCAGCCAAGUAGCGUGAAGGAUGACUGCCCUAUGGGUUGUACAAUUCUUUUAUAUGGGAAUAAAGUGCAGUAUGUAUACUGCUUUGCAUGUACCUUAUUAAUCAGGAUCGAUUAACUCCGUGCCAGCAGCCGCGGUCAUACGGAGGAUCCGAGCGUUAUCCGGAUUGAUUGGGUUUAAAGGGAGCGUAGGCGUGUUGUUAAGUCAGUUGUGAAAGUUUGCUGCUCAACCGUAAAAUUGCAGGUGAUACUGGCAUCCUUGAGUACAGUAGAGGUAGGCGGAAUUCGUGGUGUAGCGGGGAAAUGCUUAGAUAUCACGAAGAACUCCGAUUGCGAAGGCAGCCUGCUGGACUGUAACUGACGCUGAUGCUCGAAAGUGUGGGUAUCAAACAGGAUUAGAUACCCCAGUAGUC